CCAAAAUGUACGUGUCUAUCUCACAGACUUCGUCUGUUAGUCAAACUCGGCCAUCGGAAUAACAUACACUUGCCUGUCACUUAUGUUUCUUCUUAUAUAAGUAUUCAAAUAAACACAAGGUUAACUUAUUUCUUUAUGACCGACUUUUGAAAUUUGUUACCGCCGUAAAAUUACGCAACGAAAGAAUUCAGAGACCACAGUGGCCCUGAACAAUAGAAGCCAAUAACGUACAUGUCAUUACAGAAAAGGUAGGACGAUUUGCCAUUAGGCAAAUACACAACACAGGCGAUCAUCAAAGACUGCGAGACUUCGCUUUGUCAACGCAUUAAAAUCUGUUCACAUUCGGGAAAAUCACGAUACUCAUGUCAGAGCACGGAAAUCAGGAGAAGUUAUCGCCACAAACGUUUACAACUAGUUGUUAGAGCAUUUACGUCUGAAACAGGGAGGGGAUGUAUGUGUACUGCGUGUUGAAGUUAAUUGAUUGGACAUUUAUUAUGUAAUUUAACAGGGUGGAGUCCAUAACAAUGAGUAAUAAGAAGAUGCGUUAAGGAACGUGCAUGUGUAUUGUUAAAUCGACAUACAAAUAUCAUCUUACUGUUUUUCAUGAUAAACAUAUGUUUGUGCUUGAAAAAAAAGUUUCCAAAGAAGGUAAUGACAAUUACAUACUUUCGGUUAAACGGUUGUAUUCCAAUCUGUGUUCAAUAUAAAGUUAUACUAAUUGAAAAAAUAAAGACUGUAGAUUUCUGCAUUAA
rnacentral:lncRNA from 1 species